ACGUGUAGGCGGAAACACACAUCUUGUUUCAAAGACCCUGGCUUAACUGGGGGAAGGGGCAAGAGAUGGUGUUUCUUGGAAAGCUUUUGGGGCAACUGGAACCUUUAGUGGAGCAGUGAAAUGCGUUGAUAUUAAAGGGAACACCAAUGGCGAAGGCAGGUUGCUAAAAAGACUUUGACGCUGAGACUCGAAAGCUAGAGGAGAGAAGCAGAUUAGAGACCUGCGUAUUUCUAGCCGUAAACGCAUGGGUGCUAGAUCGUCGUCCCGCUAAAAGUUUGUUCCAAAAACUGUUUGCCUAAUUGAUAGAUAAAUGGUUUUUGAUAUGUUUUCAUAUGCGACACGAACUUUUAGCGGGAUGACGGUCGUAAGCUAACGCGUUAAGCACCCCGCCUGGGGAGUACGAACGCAAGUUUAAA
rnacentral:rRNA from 1 species